rnacentral:rRNA from 1 species
CAUGCAGUCGAACGGCAGCACGGGUGCUUGCACCUGGUGGCGAGUGGCGAACGGGUGAGUAAUACAUCGGAACGUACCUUAUCGUGGGGGAUAACGCAGCGAAAGCUGUGCUAAUACCGCAUACGCCCUGAGGGGGAAAGCGGGGGAUCGCAAGACCUCGCGCGAUUAGAGCGGCCGAUGCCUGAUUAGCUAGCUGGUGGGGUAGAAGCCCACCAAGGCGACGAUCAGUAGCUGGUCUGAGAGGACGAUCAGCCACACUGGGACUGAGACACGGCCCAGACUCCUACGGGAGGCAGCAGUGGGGAAUUUUGGACAAUGGGGGCAACCCUGAUCCAGCAAUGCCGCGUGAGUGAAGAAGGCCUUCGGGUUGUAAAGCUCUUUUGUCAGGGAAGAAACACCGGCUCUAACACAGUCCGGGAAUGACGGUACCUGAAGAAUAAGCACCGGCUAACUACGUGCCAGCAGCCGCGGUAAUACGUAGGGUGCGAGCGUUAAUCGGAAUUACUGGGCGUAAAGCGUGCGCAGGCGGUUAUACAAGACAGGCGUGAAAUCCCCGGGCUUAACCUGGGAAUGGCGCCUGUGACUGUAUAGCUAGAGUGUGUCAGAGGGGGGUAGAAUUCCACGUGUAGCAGUGAAAUGCGUAGAUAUGUGGAGGAAUACCAAUGGCGAAGGCAGCCCCCUGGGAUAACACUGACGCUCAUGCACGAAAGCGUGGGGAGCAAACAGGAUUAGAUACCCUGGUAGUCCACGCCCUAAACGAUGCUGACUAGUUGUUCGGGAUUUACAUCCUGAGUAACGUAGCUAACGCGUGAAGUCAGCCGCCUGGGGAGUACGGUCGCAAGAUUAAAACUC